rnacentral:rRNA from 1 species
AAGGUGGGGGACGACGUCAAGUCAUCAUGGGCCCUUACGUGUGGGGCUACAAACGUGCUACAAUGGUGGUGACAGUGAGCAGCUAGUCCGCGAGGACGUGCUAAUCUCUAAAAACCAUCUCAGUUCGGAUUGUACUCUGCAACUCGAGUGCAUGAAGUUGGAAUCGCUAGUAAUCGGCCAUCAGCAUGGGCCGGUGAAUACGUUCCCGGGUCUUGUACACACCGCCCGUCACGUCAUGGGAGUUGGUUCUACCCGAAGACGCCGCGCUAACCUCGGAGGCAGGCGACCACGGUAGGGUCAGUAACUGGGACGAAGUCGUAACAAGGUAACCGUAA